rnacentral:rRNA from 1 species
GACGAACGCUGGCGGCGUGCUUAACACAUGCAAGUCGAGCGGUAAGGCCCUUUCGGGGGUACGACGAGCGGCGAACGGGUGAGUAACACGUGGGUGACCUGCCCUCAGCUCUGGGAUAAGCCUGGGAAACUGGGUCUAAUACUGGAUAUGACUCCACGGUGCAUGUCGUGGGGUGGAAAGCCUUGUGCGGCUGAGGAUGGGCCCGCGGCCUAUCAGCUUGUUGGUGGGGUGAUGGCCUACCAAGGCGACGACGGGUAGCCGGCCUGAGAGGGCGACCGGCCACACUGGGACUGAGACACGGCCCAGACUCCUACGGGAGGGCAGCGAGUGGGGAAGUCUUGCGCAAUGGGCGAAAGCCUGACGCAGCGACGCCGCGUGAGGGAUGACGGCCUCGGUUGU